rnacentral:sRNA from 1 species
UUUCUCCCUGAUCUUCCCCCCUCGCUAAUCUAUAAGUACAUCGUCGGUUCCUUCAUCUGACAUCGUAGCUAUCCCCCUCCAUAGUCCCCGGACCCCGCCAACGCACUUAUCCAAGAUCUUCAGCUUGCUUCUUCCAAUAUUCCGCAAGCUUCAGCUCCUGGCCUUUCGAACUGUCUCUCAACCAACAUAUUUGUCUUUCGCAAGGGCAUGAAAUCAAGGUGCGCAGAGCAGUGCAUAGUUCUCAUCGUCCCAGCAUGAGCCAGUUGAUACACGGGUAACCCCGCAGCGCAAAGGAAGUCAUUGCCUGUCAAAGCUAACAUUAACGCAACUUUCGAAAAACGAGGCAGGAAUAUCUUACUUCGCAAAAAUGAUACAUGCACUGCCCAUUUACAUAUGUCAGAUCCGUCCCUGUCGCAUGGCCCAAGGAUGGCUGGAUGGGCAUCGCGCCGUGAUA